rnacentral:rRNA from 1 species
UGGGGAAUCUUGCACAAUGGGCGAAAGCCUGAUGCAGCGACGCCGCGUGGAGGAUGAAGGUCUUCGGAUUGUAAACUUCUGUUAAGUGGGACGAAAUAGCUUUUGGGAAUAUCAAAAGAAGAUGACGGUACCAUUAGAGAAAGCACCGGCUAACUUCGUGCCAGCAGCCGCGGUAAUACGAAGGGUGCGAGCGUUAUUCGGAUUGAUUGGGCGUAAAGGGUGCGCAGACGGCGAGCUAAGUCAAUCGUCAAAUUUCCUGGCUCAACCGGGAGACGGCGGCAGAUACUGGUUUGCUAGAGGGUGGAAGAGAGAAGUGGAAUUCUCGGAGUAGCGGUAAAAUGCGUAGAUCUCGAGAGGAACACCGAUGGCGAAGGCAGCUUCUUGGUCCAUUCCUGACGUUCAUGCACGAAAGCGUGGGGAGCAAACAGG